CAGCGCCGCGGUAAUACGGAGGGUGCAAGCGUUAAUCGGAAUUACUGGGCGUAAAGCGCACGCAGGCGGUCUGACAAGUCAGAUGUGAAAUCCCCGGGCUUAACCUGGGAACUGCAUUUGAAACUGUCAGGCUGGAGUCUUGUAGAGGGGGGUGGAAUUCCAGGUGUAGCGGUGAAAUGCGUAGAGAUCUGGAGGAAUACCGGUGGCGAAGGCGGCCCCCUGGACAAGACUGACGCUCAGGUGCGAAAGCGUGGGGAGCAAACAGGAUUAGAUACCCCUGUAGUCCCUGUCUCUUAUACAC
rnacentral:rRNA from 1 species